rnacentral:lncRNA from 1 species
CAUGAAGUUCAACCUCUUCUAGUGCUCUUUUCUGUUUUCAUGGUCCUGGAGUGACUUGACCUCAUUUAGUCAUUCUAUGAUUAUCCCAUUUACAGGCAAGGAGCAUUUUUAUUGUUGUUAAUGCUCUUAACUCUAGCAAGCUAUGAAUUUAGGACGUGUCUGUGCCCUUUGGCAAACUUACUGUCUCCUUAGGAAUUUUGUGCCCGAUUUCUUUUGCUCUUCCAGACUGCUGCCCAUGCUCCUCUGCCCUGCCGAGCACUCUGGGAGAUGGACCUGGUUGGACACUAGAGCUCCACCCUGCAGCUUCCAGGUGGGCUCAGUAGAUGGAGAUCCUGGAGGAGACUGUAGAGCAGCUGCUGGCACAGUUGUCCUGGAGCUACCUGGGCCCAGAUGCCCCAGCUCUCUCCAUGCAGACCAUUCUACCUACCUCUCCUCUCAUACUGGGCUCUCCGUGUAGGUGUUGGCAAGAAGUCUUCAGAGAUGGAGAAACCGAUGAAGAAUCUUGCUGCAAGAUCCCAACCUAUGCCAAGGGCCACUGCGAGAAGCCAGCAUGGACACGAAAUUCACACCCAGGGCAGCUCCUGUGUCUUCUGAGCCUUCUCAUGAGGGCUGCAAGCACAGUGGUCUGGUACUGCCUGCCUGUAAUGUUUUCUUUUAGAAUAGACCCUGUGUGUAGAUGAAAGAGCAUUCGACAUCAUUACUACGUGGGAUGCUGAGAACCAGGUGUUUUCUUCUCUGGGCAUAAGCUCCUGAGGCUCCCGAAAGUCUCAUCCUCCUGGGCCGAGGAUGCUGAAGGGAGCAGUGGGAUGGAAGGCGGGCCCAGAAAGCACACGGGCAGGCAGAAUCUGCUCUGCCCAGCUCCAGUGUCUUGUCUUUACUGUGCUCACCGUAUGUUUUCAGAAAGACAGGCCAAGAACAAAAGUGGGAGCCACCUAAAUGUCCAACCAUGAUGGUCCAUGAACACAGUGGAAUGUGCAAGAUAAUUGUGAAAAUUGUGCGGAAGUAUGGGGAACUGCUUAGGAUACACAGUUAAGUGAAUAAAGCAGCAUGUUAAGUGUUAUAUAUGCCAUGGUUACAAUUCCAAAAAUAUGUAUGUACAUAGGCAAAUUCUGGAAGAAUAAAACCAGAAGAAAAUGUUGUAUUAAAGUGAUAGCAUCAUGGAUGUAUAUAGAUAGCCUUUGAUGUCUUUGUUGGAAGAGGCCAUCCUUGCACCCUGUCCCUUGCUGAGCAUGCCACAACUGCAAGGCCCUGAGUGUCCCUUAGCUGGCCCAUUUCUCAGGUCCAGCUGAUAACUCUGAGAGGUGAGGUAACAUUGACCCCUCCCCAUGAUCCUCCAGGCAAACAGCAGGCUGGCUUCUGGCUUGCUGUAAGCACAGCGCCUUCUCCAAGCUCCACGCUUCACGCUGCACACACGGCAUUCAUCUGAGCCUGCUGUGUCACCUGUGAGGGAACUGGGACUGAGGGGAACUGACACAGAAGUGCGGCUGGACAUAACAUCCAGGAAACAGUAGCAGGUUGACUGAAUAGCUUCUAAGAAGGAUAAAAUCAAAUCCCAGAUGACAGUCUUAAUAAGGUUGCGAUACCAAUUUGAAAUUACAGUUGACUCUUAAACACCGGUUUGAACUGCGAGGGUCCACUUAGAGAUGGAUUUUUUUUUCCAAAAAAUACAGUCCGUGGGUUUUGUAUCCACAACCAAACACAGAUAGAAAAUAUAGUAUUCUCAGGAUUUAAAUCUGCCCGUACGGAAGCCUGGCUUUUCAUAACCUUCGGUCCCCAGGACUCACUAUGGGACUUGAGUAUGUGCAGAUUUUCAUGUCUUACCCAUGGCCCUGGAAGCAAUUUCCUACAGAUUCCCAGGGAUGACUGUAUUUGCCUAAUGUUUCUUUCCCAGCAGACUCAUGUCUGUCUUGUGCACUGCUGUGUUCCUGGCACCAUGGGGGAGCGUGGUGCAGAGCAAGUUUCCUCAGAUGGCCCUUUGUGGAUGGACUACAGGAGCAGAGAUGUGCAAGAAGCAAGUUUCAGAAGGAAUUCAAACCAAAAUGUAGAGUUUGAAGGCAACAGUGACCUUUGCAAUCAUACCUCCCUGUUAUUCAGUAACAAAGCCACCACCAUGUAUCAAGCACCCACAGGCCACACCUGUCUUCUGGACGAUUUUCGGGGCAUCAUAUUUCAAUGUUCUGUCCAUUUCCAGGCACAAAGUGCUUUCACUCACAUUCGGUCCUUGCUGCAACUGCAAGCCACUGAAGACAGGUGUGUCUGAUCCCAACGUGGAGCCCACAGUAACAGCAAGCAGCGACUGUUGCUUGUGCAGGAGGCCCUGUGUGCCACAUGUUGCUCUUCACUACUGAUCAGGGCUGUUUACGUGGGUCCCAUCACAGCUGCUCUGUGACUAGGGAACUUGACGUCUCCAUUUUUCAACUGAAAACACAGAAGUACAAAGGGGUUCACCACCUUGUCCACGGUUGCCCUGCUUCUAACUGGUCAUGUUGGAAUAAAAACAAGCAACUGUCAUCCGGGAUAUUAACCACGCAGGCUGUGGUGUUGCAAAGCAGGGGAGCACGGAGCAGGGAGCAUACCACCCUGCUGAGAUCAGCUCACUCACAAGUGGCAGGGCUAGGGCUGCAGUGCAGCUCACUUACGGGCACUGUGUAAGCCUGAAAGCAAAGUCCACAUCCAAAGGUCGUAGUGGCCCCAAAACAGCUUCCUGACCUGCUUCUGUGGUCCCAGACCUCUUGCUGCUGAGGUACCUUAGCUUUCCAAUUACUCUUGCCAAUUCUGCCUGCCCAGUACUGCUAAAAGGCCACUUCCCUCCGUCCCAUGGCCUCAAACACACUUCAGAGAGAAUUUCUGGGCACUUUCAGAAGGCUGGUCACUACAGCACAAAAGAAGUCAAAGUUAUCGCGUUAGUGCUCCCAAAUCUGAGGCACAGUUUGGAGAUGGGGGCUCUGAGUCAAGGGGCAGGCUGGGGACUGUUCCGGUGCCUGUGACUAUGGGACUGAGUCAGUCACAGCCCCUCUCAUUUUCACCAGUGAAGGACAUAAUGUAUACAGUGUUGCAUUUCCAAGACAAAGUGCCUUAAAUUGGCUUAGGUCAGCAGACUACAGAAGAAACAGGAUAUUCGAGGCCCCUGCUUGGAUAGCUGAUGCCUGCUUGUAGGCCUCCCCCUUUCCCCGCUUACCCCCCAUUAGUUGCCUUCACCAGAACCGAAGAAGUUUAGUCUAAAAUGAAAGCUUACUACUAGCCUGCAAAAUAGCUCCCUUUGUCUGUUCUUAUCAGCCAGCCCAGCUACUUAGGUCGUAAGUGAAAUACUUGAAGAGCCCCUGAGCUGACUAGGAUUGCAAUGCAUUGUGGGCUGUGACAAAAUGCAGCAAGACAACCCUAAAAACAAACAAACAAACAAAAACACCUAAAGCCCCUGCCUAACAAUCAAUAGGUGACGUCCAGGAAGGUUGUGACCCCAUAGUACUCAGCCUGUGGGAAACUGGGGGAGGAGCCUGCACACUAGUGGACAAAUUGCUUGUUGAAACUGCUGGGUGUGCCUGUCCGUCAGACACCCGAUUUUGCAAGACUGACUGUUUAUUAAAAAUCUCACUUUCGCU